GGGGAUAUAGCUCAGCUGGUUAGAGCGCGUCACUGAUAAUGACGAGGUCUAUGGUUCAAGUCCAUAUAUCCCCACCA
rnacentral:tRNA from 1 species